rnacentral:rRNA from 1 species
UACGGAGGGUGCAAGCGUUAUCCGGAUUUACUGGGUUUAAAGGGUGCGUAGGCGGGUUGUUAAGUCAGUGGUGAAAGAUUCGAGCUCAACUCGAGAACUGCCAUUGAUACUGACGAUCUUGAAUAUAGUUGAGGUGGGCGGAAUGUGUCAUGUAGCGGUGAAAUGCUUAGAUAUGACACAGAACACCGAUUGCGAAGGCAGCUUGCUACCCGAAUAUUGACACUGAGGCACGAAAGCGUGGGGGAUC